GCUAGGAAGAGGAAGAAAGAGAGGGCCUAAGAGCAAUGGGGAUGAGAACAUAGAUGAAAGCCUAAUUUAUCGGUUCUUCACCUCUUGUGCCGAGGUAGAAAUCCCGUUUGGUACUUUCUCGAUGCCUCUCAUUCCUAUCGUUCUUAAGCGCUCCUUCCUCUUCCUUUUUGUU
rnacentral:pre_miRNA from 1 species